rnacentral:rRNA from 1 species
AUUGAACGCUGGCGGCAGGCCUAACACAUGCAAGUCGAGCGAGCGGCGGACGGGUGAGUAAUGUAUGGGGACUGCCCGAUAGAGGGGGAUAACUACUGGAAACGGUGGCUAAUACCGCAUACUAUCGGAUAACCCAUAUGGGAUUAGCUAGUAGGUGGGGUGAUGGCCUACCAAGGCGGUUACGGGUAGCCGGUCUGAGAGGAUGCUCAGCCACACUGGGACUGAGACACGGCCCAGACUCCUACGGAUGCAGCAGUGGGGAAUAUUGCACAAUGGGAGCAAGCCUGAUGCAGCCAGGCCGCGUGUAUGAAGAAGGCCUUAGGGUUGUAAAGUACUUUCAGCGUGGAGGCGUUACCCGCAGAAGAAGCGCCGGCUAACUACGUGCCAGCAGCCGCGGUAAUAC